CUAUGUGGCAAAAAUAGUGAGAAGAUUUGUAAGUAGAGGUGACANGCCUAACGAGCCUGGUGAUACUGGUUGUCCAGAAAAUGAAUCUAAGUUCAGCUUUAAGAGAUACCGAAGAGAUUCGAAAUAAACCCCCUGUAGCUUUAAAAGUUAGUCUAAAAAGGUACAGCCUUUUAGAAACGGAUACAACCUUGACUAGAGAGUAAAAUUUAACACUACCAUAGUAGGCCUAAAAGCAGCCAUCAAUUAAGAAAGCGUUAAAGCUCAACAACAAAAAUUAAAUAGAUUCCAACAACAAAUGAUUAACUCCUAGCCCCAAUACUGGACUAAUCUAUUAUAGAAUAGAAGCAAUAAUGUUAAUAUGAGUAACAAGAAAAAUUUUCUCCUUGCAUAAGUCUAAGUCAGUGCCUGAUUAUACUCUGACCACUAACAGU
rnacentral:rRNA from 1 species